rnacentral:rRNA from 1 species
AUUGAACGCUGGCGGCAGGCUUAACACAUGCAAGUCGAGCGAGCGGCGGACGGGUGAGUAAUGUAUGGGAAACUGCCUGCUGGAGGGGGAUAACUACUGGAAACGGUAGCUAAUACCGCAUAACAUCAGAUGUGCGCAGAUGGGACUAGCCAGUUGGUGGGGUAAUGGCUGACUUAGCCGACGAUCCCUAGCUGGUCUGAGAGGAUGACCAGCCACACUGGAACUGAGACACGGUCCAGACUCCUACGGGAGGCAGCAGUGGGAAAUAUUGGACAAUUGGCGCAAGCCUGAUGCAGCCAUGCCGCGUGUGUGAAGAAGGCCUUCGGGUUGUAAAGCACUUUCAGCGAGGAGGCGGUACUCGCAGAAGAAGCACCGGCUAACUCCGUGCCAGCAGCCGCGGUAAUAC